CAUCAGAAACUUAUUUCCCUCUUCUUCUUCCUCUCUUUCCCUAAUACUCUUUUCUUUAUCUUCCUUCUUCUUCAUUCCUUUUUUUUUUCAUCUAAUUUAAUUUCUGUUAACAAAGGUGAAUUUUUGAAGAAAAAAAAUGUCUGACUAUUCAUAACAGCAACGGUGGAGAUGUCUGAGCAGAGUUAUGGUCGGAGAGAGUGAUGCAGUGGUGAUGGUACGAGACAAUGCUAGAAACGAUGAUUCCUAUGUUGAGAAUUUGCGGCGCCACCCGUGUGUUGCUGGAAAAUCAUCUGAAGUAAUGUGCGGGUGUGUGAAAAAAUCUUGUGAAAAAAUCUUAAAUCGUAUUUUUCAAAGAUUCUCCAAUUGGAAGGUUGUUCUUCAGCGUGCUCUCAAGCCAAGUUCUUCGAUAUGGUUGGUGAAACCUUAGUGUAUUUUAUUGCAGCGCAGGGUUGAGAAGGCCUUGGGAAGAUGAAAGACUGAAUGAUAUUGUAGGUAGUGCAUACUAUGUGGCUCCAGAAGUUAUUCAUAAAGUUUAUAGUACUGAGGCUGAUUUCUGGAUGAUUGGAGUGAAAGUUGAUCCAAGUUUUGGCGAACCCUGGCCUUCUCUAUCAGAUGAGGCAAAGGAAUUUUGUUAAGAGAUUGCUUAAUAAAAAUCCACGGAAAAGAAUGAGUGCAGCACAGGAAUUAAGUCAUCCAUGGAUAAAAAAACUACGAGAACACGAAAGUAUCGAUGAAUAUUUUAAUAUUCAAACUCAUGAAGGCAUACAUGUGUUCCUUCUCUACGAAAAGCUGCUUUAACUUGAUUUUGAUCCGCAAUAAGCUUCUGUUGAACCAAUUGUAACUAAUUAAUUGUUGUUCAAAUACUGAGUUGUAGCCAUGCUGAGAUUUUCAUAGUUUUUCCAACUUAGCAGACUUAA